CCGAGGGGCGGUUGGUGGGAAGACGCGGAGAGGAGGAGGCAGGAAGAAAGACCACGCAGGCCGCCUGGACCAGCGCGGGAAAGGCGGGAGGGGGCAGCUGGAAGCUCCGCCGCCACGCCGCGCCGCGCCGCGCCGCCCGAGGCCGAAGCGGAGCCGCCGGUCGACUGAGGAGCCCCCGAGACGCCGCCGCCGCUUUAGCGGUCCGCGAAAGAAGCGGGAGGCCGCCGCCGCCAUUCUGCAUCCCGAGCGAGGCGGGGCCGAGAGCCGGCGUUUCCCCGGCCCGGCCAGCGGCGGCCAUGGCCCGCGGCGGUGAAGAGGAAGGCCGCCCGCCCGAACAGGCCCCCUCGCCUCCGGAGGCCUCCCAGAGCGGCGGUUUUGGGCGCCCGGCGCCACGGCCGCCUCCUCCCGCUCGGGUGCCGCGGCUGGGCCUCGCCCUGGCCUUUCUGGCGGCGCUGCUGGCGGCCAAAUACUACCGGGACGCGGAGGCCGCCCGGCGGCAGGAAACAGCCCUGAAGUCUCUGGGAAAUGAAGGUCUUUUCCUCUUCUCUUCCCUGGAUACUAACCAUGAUUUGUUCAUCAGUCCUGAGGAAUUCAAGCCAAUUGCAGAGAAAUUGACUGGCAUGGUUCCCGUGUCUGGCACUGAGGAGGAAGAGGUGACGGAUCCCAAUGGGGAGACACUCUCCAUCCUCGCAAAAUUCCAGCCUCUGUUGAUGGAAACCAUGACAAAGAGCAAAGAUGGCUUCCUUGGCGUUUCUCAUGUGGCUUUCGCUGGGCUCCGAAACUGGACAGCUCCUGCUUCUCCCCUCAGUAUGAAGUUUGCUCGGCAAUUCAAGGCGUUUCUUCCCCCAAAGAAUAAGUUGGAGCUUGGUGACCCAUGGUGGAUCAUUCCCAGUGAACUAAACAUCUUUACCGGAUAUCUUCCAAAUAAUCGUUUCUACCCUCCAGCUCCCAAGGGCAAGGAGGUCAUCAUUCACAAGCUCUUGAGUAUGUUCCACCCGCGGCCAUUUGUGAAAACUCGUUUUGCUCCUCAGGGAGCAGUGGCCUGCAUUCAAGCUGUAGCAGAGUUCUACUACAAAAUAGCCUUCAGAAUCCAUGCAGAAUUCCAGCUGAAUGAGCCUCCAGAUUUCCCAUUCUGGUUUUCUCCUGCCCAAUUCACGGGCUACAUUGUCCUCUCAAAGGAUUCUUCCCAUGUUCGAGAGUUCAAGCUAUUUGUCCCUAAUAACAGGUCUCUCAAUGUAGAUAUGGAAUGGUUAUACGGUGCCUUAGAGAGCAGCAACAUGGAGGUGGAUAUCGGAUACUUACCACAGAUGGAGCUGGAGUCUCUGGGACCAUCUACCCCUUCGGUGAUUCAUGAUGAAAAUGGGAACGUGAUUGACAGCCGAGAAGGAGAACCAAUUCAGUUUAUUUUUGAAGAGAUUUCCUGGCAGAGAGAAAUAAGCUGGGAAGAAGCAUCUGAGAAACUGGAAGUGGUCAUGUAUCCAUUUAAGAAAGUUUCCUACUUUCCUUUUACCCAGGCUUUUGAAAAGGCCAAAUCUGAGGGUAAACUUGUUCAUUCCAUACUCUUGUGGGGAGCCUUAGAUGAUCAGUCAUGCUGAGGUUCAGGGCGAACUCUCCGGGAGACAGUCCUGGAAAGUUCGCCCAUCCUUGCAUUCCUGAAUGAGAGUUUCAUCAGCACCUGGUCGUUGGUGAAGGAGCUGGAAGAUUUACAGGAUAAACAGGACAAGAUCACCAGCAAACUUGCAGCCCUUCACCUUGAAAAGUAUAACUUCCCCGUGGAGAUCAUGAUCUGCCUGCCCAAUGGCACUGUGGUUCACCACAUCAACGCCAACUAUUUCCUGGAUAUCACUUCUAUGAAGCCCGAAGAAGUUGAGAGCAGCAUCUUUAGUUUCUCCUCUGGUUUUGAAGACCCCUCGACAGCAACUUAUCUCCAGUUUUUGAAGGAAGGACUUCAGAAAGCCAAAUCUUACCUGUAGCCCAGGAGUGGGUUCUACUUACCUUUACUAACCGGUUCGCAAUGGGAUCGCACACUCGCUUUGCUCGCGCGCACAAAAGCUUCUGCGCAUGCGCAGAUCACCUAUGGCAACAUCUGGGUCGAUGGGCAGAGCCUCCCGCCGGUUUUACUAUCGGUUCUUGCAAACCGGUCUGAACCAGGGGGACAACCCACCACUGCUGUAGCCCCCCAAGACCCAGAAGCAAACAAGUGUCCUCCUCUUGAUCCAACAAUUCUUGCUUCUUGUGCUUUUGGAGCGCAGGAUUAACCGUGUUGAAGAACAAAUGUUGUAUAUAAAUGAAAACUCUCCAAACCAGUGCUGCACCAGGACAAUACCCUCCUGACUGGGAAUUGGGUGAGGAGUUGUCUCACCCACAAGCCAACAAAGUGGUCAUCCUCAGGCCAUCCAAGCCUCCACAUCCCUCUUGACUAUUCUUCUCAAGCCAGAUUUAGUUCCAAAGUCUCCAUUAAUAAAUCCGUUAACCUUUACCAUCCCAUCAAGAAUAGGGUAUCUUGCACUGCUUUAAGCACAUGCAAUAUAUGAAAUGCGUUCCCAGGGAUAGUGUGCUGUCCGACAUCAAGCCUUUGGAAGGGUUUACUAAUGUUUUUUGGUCACAGAGAGCCCUAGCCACAGGAAUUUAACAGCGCUACAGUUGUUGAUAUCCUCUCAGUUGUGAGAUGGUUUUCAAAAUGGGUUCAUACAGCCUGUUGUUGUUGUUUUCUCCUUUCUCUACCGUAGGUACUGCACGUUAAUUUCUCAUGUUUCUAAUUUCUUGACUGGGGGAAAAGACAUAUAAAUUCACCUGAGAACAGGAUCAUUCAGAGAUAAGCAAUAUAUCCUAUAACCCAGAAGAAAUUAUACUUUCGUUCUCUCCUGAUAAUCCCAUGAUUGAUGAUGAUGAGGAUGAAGAUGUUAUCCAUUCAGUCACGUCUGUGGUUCAGGUCUCUCCAUGCCUUCAGAACUUGCACUACUUUUUUGAGUUGUUCUAUGCUUCUGUCUCAGAUGUGGUGGCUCAGUGGCUAAGACACCGAGCUUGUCGAUCAAAAGGUCGACAGUUCAGCGGUUCGAAUCCCUAGUACCGUGUAAUAAGGUGAGCUCCCAUUACUGGUCCCAGCUUCUGCCAACCUAGCAGUUCGAAAGCACAUUAAAAAUGCCAGUAGAAAAAUAAGGACCACCUUUGAUGGGAAGGUAACAGCGCACGGAACGCCUUUGGUGUUCAGUCAUGCCAGCCACAUGACCACGGAGACAUCUUUGGACAGCGCUGGCUUUGAAAUGGAGAUGAGCACCGCCCCCUAGAGUCAGGAACGACUAGCACAUAUGUGCAAGGGGAACCUUUACCUUUACCUUUAUGCUCUGGCUGGUGUCAGCUUUGAUGGUGUCCAGCUACUGUAUUCUUUGGUGGCCUGGUUUCCUUUUACUGCUAACUCUUCCAAACCUAAUCUCUUUCUCCAGUGAAUUCCCCUUUGCCUUGUUCACAGAAUUUUACAUUAGAUCCCAAAUGAUGUCUCUCUUAAUAUUGCUACCAUGUGUUUGUUUUUUUCAGGAUUUGUUUUGGCAGUAGGUUGGGGGUUUUGUUACCAGAAAAGAAAAUCUGUAGAAGAUACAUUGUAGAAGAUAUUUUAGGAAUGGAGAAAGAUUUUUACCCUUGUUGGGUUUGUUUUUAAAUAAUGAAAAAGAGAGCCAGUAUUUUUAUAAACAAAUGUGUUCAAUUUCUGACUUAGGCACUCUGGGUGGUCGAGCCACCUGUUGUGACCCAGGCCCAAGUAGGUAAUAGGAAACUCAAGUCAGUCAAAAAACAAACUUUAUUUGAACAGUUGAGAAUUACUUCAUUCCCAGCGUAGUUCAACUAAAUUAAAGCAAAUUCCUCCCAACACAAAUUCCUCAGUCCUAUCACCAACCUUGGUCCAAUUAGGCAAACUGCCAAAGGCCUUUCUUGGGAAAAAUUCAGAAGUCACCGAUACAAAAAUAAAUGCAAGACGUAGACAAAGAAGAAGAGGAAGCUACCAACGUUGUUUUCCGGCAAAGCCCAAACACCGUUGCUGGUCUGUUUUAAGCCUUAUGGGAGGGGCCAAUCAUCUCCUGGCCUUACUCCCAAGUUGUCCUUUUUGCUUGAACUGCUCUUGCCUUCUGGCAGCUCUUCUCAUGCAUGCAUUAGGAAUAGGCUCCUCCUGUUCCUCUGCCUCACUACUAUCAGUCUCUGGAGGCUCUGGAGUCUGCACAUCACUCCCCGAUGGCCCUGGUCCCACCUCAGCCUCAUCGUUGUCUGACCCCAUUGCCAGCUCCACAGGCUGCUGGCAGACCACACCACCACCUAUUGAAAUCAACACACUACGAAAAGCCAAAAUUCUUCUUUUCCCUUUGAUUUUAAAGUUACAAAAUAAGCUACCUAUAUUAAGCCUAGCACAUCACAUAUGCUCUGAAGUCACUUAAAAAGCCUUUACUAUAGAAGCAGCUUGUUAGCAAGAAGGUAGUGCCUAAGGAUAGCCUCAGUUUACAAGCAGCGGCAGCAGCAACCUUUGCAUGCUUUUAUUUUUGUUUUAGUAACCUCUUUAUAUGAUUUAAAUGUUGCAUAGUCUAGGCCUUUGUAUUCAUAUGGUUGUCUGCUCUUAUUCGUCUCUUGAUAGUUCUUAACCUAUGCUCUCCUGAAUUUUUAAUCCGUUUGGAACAUUUCCAUAUAUCCCCAAUUCCCUUCUUGAGAGAUUCUGUGAUCAUCAUAACUUACUUAGUUCUACGUUGCCACCCUUUGCCUCUUGAGUUCCUUAUGUCUUUGUAGUUCUGCAUUAGCAUCACAUAUUCAAGGAAAGUCAAUGAGCAGUUGGCAUUGGUGGUAUUAGUGGAAAGAUGUCCUGUGUGUGCACACUUAUCUGCAGUGGAAAGCCAUAAAUGUUCCGCAGAAUACUCUCUUGUGAGCUGAACUCCCAACAGGUGCAUGGCACCAUGGAUGGAACUAUGGAAUUCAACUAUGAUGGUUGAAUUCCUGUGUCACAUUAACUCACAAGCAAGCCAAUGACCUUGAGUGGGUUUACACAUUGCCGAAAUGGGGUUUGCCUCAUAUGCAAACUCAGCUGAUGGUUUGCAGAUCGUGAUUUAUACACGCAGCCUAUCUUGGCUUGCUCAGCAAACCAUAGAUCAACAAUAUGUGAACACAGCCUAGGUGGCCAAGCGUUCUUUGUGUUAAAGUGGAGCGUAGAUUUUUAAUCAUUGUCACUCAAGCUAUUGGUAGUAACAGCUGUUACCAACAAUAGCUAUUGUAUUAAACUUUUUAAAAGGUAUGCUCUUAUGUUCCGUGACAGAGAAAUCCCAUAGGUGCAUCAGUAUUAUACUUAAUUUGUAUGUGUUAGGAUAAUGUGAAGGUUUAUUAAGCCAAUUUUUCUUUGCAAAGAUAAAGGCAGUAGCCAAAGCAGCAACUAAUUUUAUUCUACUGCAAAUUAGAGGGAGCCUAAUUUUAGAUCACAGGGCUGCUGUCAUGCUUUAACGUAAAAGAAACAAAAGGGAGCAUGUUCACAUCACUUCUGUAAAUUCAAAGAGGGUAGCUUUUUUUUCCUGGGCAAGAUUCACACCUGGCCUUUGAAUGGAACAUUGGGAGCUGCAUUCCUAAAAGGAGAGUGAAACUAGGAUUAAAAACCACAUUUCAUUUACAUUUCAAUGUAAUUACCAUUGAAUAUAGGCGCUUGGGGAAAGCCAUUUUAAUUACAUUUAAUUUAAAAGAGCUUAGGAAAUCAUGUAUUAAGAAUUUCCCCCUUUUGUCACAUAAAAAUUGCCAUUUAGUAAUAAUGUUUGAAAAUCUGGGGGGGCGGGGAGGCUACAGGCAAGAUUUUAAGCCACAGGCGUCAUCAGUUUAUCCAUCUCUUCUGCAAAGAAGCAUUCCUGAAAUCUAAGAGGUUUUAGAAGACUUCAGAAAGAAUGCCAAAUAUUUGUGCUGAUUGCCAAGCACUCAAAUCGUCUUUCCAAGAUCUUGUGGGUUUUUUUUCCAGAGUUAAGGCAAUGGAAUUGAGCAGACAUUUAGGAUGGCUUUGCUCCAGGAAGUUCUGCUUUCUUUGUGCAGUAAUCACCACACCCCAAUAUUUGAAAAACAAUUUUAAAAAAAUACUUUAAUUUCCCAGAUUCUUUCUCCUGCUUGAAUGUAUGAAAUUGGCUUAUAUUAAGAGAAGACCAUGGGUUGUCUUGGUCAAGUCCCAUUAACAAAAGUCAGAGGUUUCUGUUCAAUUCCUGGCAUCUCCAGAUAACACUGGAAAAGCUGCUGCCUGAAAUUCUGGGAGCCAUUGACUGCUGUCAGUUGUUAACGUUUUAUCCACAGUUAACAGAAUCUUGGUUUGUACAACACAUGCACACUAAGCCACAAACAAGUCAAGCACGCUUCAGCCUAAUGGGUAGUGGGAAUUUUACUAGUACCAGAUUAAAGUGAGCCAAUGAUUUGAUGCUCUAAAGGGCAAUUUUUUAUAUUUCUGCCUACACAAAACAACAUUAAUAGAUCAAAAUCUGAAUUAUUCUCUUGUUUUUCUGCCCAUGAUUCAUUAUAUGUAGAUAUUUCUAACUAAAUCUGGAAUUUCGGGAACUUCAGAGAAAAUGGACAUUUACUUCUGUUGGAUGUUGAUGAGGGUUGUGUAAACUUUAGAGCAAGAGUAUCCAACUUUGGCAAUUCUAAGACCGUGGACUUCAACUCCCAGAAUUCCCCAGCCAGCCAUGCUGGGUGAGGAAUUCUGGGAGUUGAAGUCCUCAAGUCUUAAGGUUGCACACCCUUGUUUCAGAGGAACCUGCUAGAAGAUGUCUUUCACUCUACUUCAAAACAGAAUGCAGAGAGUUGAUCUGCAAAUGGUCUGUAUGCCAUUUUGUCAUAUCAUGUACAGCUGUGUACUUACAAAGGCUGUGUAGUCUUGGAAGUUCUGCACAUUUCCUGUCUUACCCUCUGACUUUAGCCUACGAAUUUGAUCCUCGUUUGCUCUCGCUCGUGCAGGCAAAAGGCAAAUGAGUUAUUGAAAACAACUAAUGAUGUUCUUGGAAAAGAACCUUCUUUGUGGAAAGUUAUUUAAGGCUGCCAACUUGUAUCUGAACCAAGAAUAAGUUCCACUGAGCUCAGUGGGAUUUAUUUUGGAAUCACUGUGGAAAGAAAACACUAGUGUGGGCACUUUGGGGUAACUAAUUUCACUUAUUCUAUUUUUGAUCCCUGGAUUUCUUAACCAAAAAAGAAAAAAAAAGCUAAGCCUUUUCUAUUUAUCUUAUCACUAUAAAUAGAUUUUUAUAGGUAUUUUGAUAACUAUAGAGAGAAGAAAAUGAAUAGGUUGGUUUCUCUCCUUGAUCUCCGUUCUUUGUGAAGGCCUGAUCUUAAAUCGAGGAUGGGUCAGGUUUGAUGUCUGACGGUUGAUUGCGGGAGGAAAAAAAAUCUUUAUCAUUCUUCUCUUCAUUUUUUAACUAUUCCUUUAAAGGUUUUUAUUUUAUUUUUGCUAAGUGUUUCUUUUUUUUAAGAUGGUUUAUUGUAAAAUACAAACUUAUUUGUCUGUUAACAGCCUUUCCCCACUUAAAGUCUUUAGUGGUUUUUGGUGAUCCUGACAGUUAUACAGGUAGUCCUCAACUUACAACUACAAUUAAGUCCAGAAUUUCUGUUGCUAAGCAAGGCAGUUAUUGAGUUGUGCCCAAUUUUAUGACCUGUUUACUACAGCUGUUAAGUGAAUCACUGUAGUUGUUAAAUGGCACAUGCAGUCAUUAAGCGAAUCAAGUGUCUCCCAUUGACUUUGCUUGUAGAAAGCUGGCUGGAAAGAAUGCAAAUGGUGAUUCCAAGAUUCCAAGAAGCUACAACUGUCAUAAAUUCACACCAGUUCCUAGCGCCCAAGUUUUGAUCACGUAACUGUGGGAAGUUGCCAUGGUUGUACAGCACAUGUAAAGACAUGUGAAUGUCACUAUCAGUGCCAUUGUAACUUUGAAUGGUCACUAAACAAAUAGUUGUAAGUUGAGGACUACUUAUCUUAGUUAACUACCCAUACCUUCAAGAAUGAUUAGUUUGAAGCUGUAUAACACUGAGAAUGUUUUGCAUCUGAUUAGUGUUGCUAUUCAUAAAAUUAUAUUAGAAUGUCCUGGACAGAUUUUUAAUAAUGGUUAUCAGAGGUCUGUAAAACAAGUUGAGGUCAGUCUUUCAGAGAUUGUGCCAAUAUUCUUCAACAUUGCUUCAAAUGCUUCAAUGCUUCAAAGUAUUGCACCUUUUACACACCUCUAUUUGUUAUCGAAUACUGAAGAAAUAUUAAGGGGGGGGGGAAAUCAGGAAAGUUAAUUAAGUGAAGAUCAAUGUAUUUUUAAAAAGCUCUGUAUUUUUUUUUUAAAUUUAACUUGCUCAUAAUUCAUAUAGGAACCAUGGCCUCUGGAUUUCUUCGAAUCCCAAGAAUGUUCCGUUCACUUUGAAACUGAACUGUAUAUGAUUUUAAUUUCAGACCUCAGUUAUUAAAUUUGCAAGUUGACAGAUUCAUUUGUAACAGUAUCACCCAGUUGAACCAGUGUUACAGUAAACCAUCGUGGAUUUAUUCUUGUAUAAAAUGUUGGCAACAUGGCUGUUUGUAGCAGCAAAGAUCACUCUUUUGCAAUAAUAAAAAUUGGGAAAACCAAACAAAUGUGUUUUUGUAUU